rnacentral:lncRNA from 1 species
CCCGGAAUUAUUAAAAUGAAAUGAGUAUUUAAAUAUAUCAAAUGCGGAAGCGAGAUCAAAAUUUCAGUUAACAUCCCUUACACGAAAACCAAAAACGUACUUAAAAUAUAAAAGAUUAAACUAACUAAAAGAGAAACUCGAAAAUAAAGCUAUGAUUAUGACUACAGAGUCUCUAGGCAUCCCUUUCGUCGUCCUCCUGCGGAACGGGCUCGGGAACCAUGUCUUCCUGAUCUGAAAUGGUUAAAUAAGGAGUGAGCUACACUAGCCCAGUAAAAACAUCACGAUAUCUCACCGUCACGGAGGUAAAGGUGGGUAGAAAAUACAAAGGACCCAUGAAGCAUGUUUUACAACAAAUCCUUUCAUUUAUGAUAAAACCUUUACCAUUCACUUACCUCGAUGGAAUUUAUUAAACAAUAUAAGAAAAACAAUAACAUUAUCAUAAUCAUGGAAUAAUAUAAGCUGUAAAACAUAACACUUAUCACGCCUCUUGUAAUUCAGUUAUUAUACAACAUAUCUUUUUCUCAUUUACCAGCCUACUAGUAUCCAUAGGGGUCCAUAGGGGUCCCGCUACCCGUUAAUCUUUAACAUUCAUAAUCAGUUUUCAGGGCCGUCCCCAUACCCCGUCCGGUAUGGGCGCCAAAACCAUAAACCUCAAUACCCCGUCCGGUAUGAGGGUGAAACAGGCCGUCCCCAUACCCCGUCCGGUAUGGGCGCCAAAACCAUAAGAUCUCCAUACCCCGUCCGGCAUGUGAGACCACAAUCCCGGUAGGGUUCCCUACGGACCCGGUCCGUCCACCAUCUCCCAGGAUAUCUAGUCAGGCUGACCCCAUAAUACAAUUAUCAGUCUACACAAUCUUUUAUUUUCCUUUUCCUCAGUCAGCAUCAUCAAUUCACAUUUAAACAAGCAAAUCAUAAUUCAUGCCAAACAAACAACAUACAGUAUCAGUUUUUUUUCAGUCAUUCAACCCAUAAUCAAUAAAAACGUAGUAUAUGCACAAAAAUCUGUAAAAUGAACACAUCAAACCUCAUUUUGCAUUUAAAGCUGUAAACAGGCCAAAUAACAGUAAAUCACCAAUCACACUAUACUCGGGCUCCAUUAGCCACCUUAAGCAAUUUCACACAUUCGUUAAUUCAAGAAAUACCGUUUUAUCAUUUGAACUUUAAUACCGUGAUAGGAAAUAGGGUGAGGGGUCCUUACUUAUUUUCGGGAUUCGAAUACGAUUCACAGUGUGCCUACAGGCUGUUCCUAAUUUUCUCUGAAUUUUUCCCGGGAAACUGAAACGCACUAACGGUACCUGCACGUGUUCCAAAAAAUCUCAAAUUAGGCUCAGGGCCCCUUUUUGGCCAAUAUCGCAACUCCGGCACGGCGGCUUCGUCGUGCUCCGGCGACGGCGCCGCCGCUUGCGGCGGCGAUUCGCCUCGGGUUGGCUGUUUUCGGUCGUUUUCGGCCGAAUUCGGCCACACUCGCAUCGGUCCCUGCGAGAAAACAACCCUAGGGCCCUCGGGGGGCCAAAAAAUCACGGAAAAACGGAGCUUACCGGCGGCGGCGCUCUCGGGUGCGGCGGCUCUCCGGCGAGGUUCGUGUUCUGGUGAUUCGGCUCCGGUCAACCUGUAGAGAAAAGAAUGGUGAUCACGGUGAUAUAAAAAUUGCAUCAAACGGAGGCCAGGAAGGGCCUCGUCGGAGGCAAAAACCGAGAAGGGACGCGGCGGCGCCGCUGGUCUUCGGCCGCGUAUUCCGACCGUUUGGCUGGGAUUUUGGCUCCGAUUUGGCCACAGGAGGAAUCAGCGUGGAAAAAUGAGUCGGGGGUAUGAAAUUUACCUCGAUCGGCGGUUGGAAAUUUCCCCGGCGCGGCGGCGGGUGGCGGCAGCCGGCUUCUGGUUUGUCUUCUCCAGCGAGCGGCAGGCGGCUAGGGUUUGUGGUCUGGUGUGGGGGUUCUAUUUAUAACCCCUUGUCUUUUGAUCUCAGCCGUCCAUUUUGUUUUAAUCUGGGCCGUUCGUUUUUGAUUGAAUCUGGGCCGUCCGUGCGAUUGCAUCUGGGCCGUCCGAUCGCGCGAUUGAUCUGGGUCGUCCGAUCGCGCUCACGCGGAUCGCAAACGUGGCCCGUUCUGGAGUGACGUGGUCUUGCCACGUGGCAGGCCCCGGUUGGCCGGGAUUGCUGACCGGGCCCGCUGACGUGGCUGCCGACGUGGCUUUUUUUUUUUUGGCUCCUUUUCUCCGGGCGCUACAAAAACAUCUUUUAAAAGCUUAGUUUACAGUCAGUUUUUAGGCCCCAUAAGAAAUCCUUACAAGCUAGAAGCAUGCAUCGGAGGGAAUCCUCUUGUCUCUAAACAUUGUAAUCUAAGCUUAUACAGAAAAUAUAGUAAACAAGUAACACCCUAAAUUCAAAGGUUUAUGUACAUUACAAUGCUGUAAAUGUUAGAAUAUAAAUAUUUUUCAAAUCAAUAAAUUUAUAAAUCUAAACACGUAAGAAGAACACAAAUUUAGACAGAAUAUUAACUUAUAAGUGGUCCCUUAUAACAGUAAUUAAAUACAAACAGUAAGAACACAUCAAAUAAUAAACUUUCAUUUGGGCCGAUUUAAAAUUCACAUGUUAUACUGAAUAACUGUCACGUAUUUAUUACCAUAAAAAUAGAAUGCAAUAGUAUUAAAUAUUAAUUUUCUUUUGAAUUAAUUAAUGUUCAUAUAAAUUAAACUCAUGCAAUAUUACAUUAUAAAAUAAAUAAAUUAUCCACAAGAGGUGUUAUUUUUGUGACAUAUUGUAUAAAUCAAUUUAUUUCAAUAUGUACGAGCACAUACUAAUAUUAAAAUUCAAAAUUUAAACUGAAUUAGAAAGAAAAUCAACUACAAAUGACUAAAAAUAUAUUUAAAAAAUUCUGUUUUUUUUUUUCUUUCAACAUUGACCUUUGACCGAUCGAAACGUUGACUAUUGGCUAUUGACUGUUGACUGACCAACCAGUUAACUGAAUCGGUUCAACAUUCGAUCGGGUUCUGGACCAAGUUGGAUCGGUUCGGGUCGGGUCGGCCUAGCCCAAACCCGUCUGGGCUUUGGUCCACCCAAAUGAGCCUUUUUUUUUUUAUUUUUUUCCAUUCUUGUAGACCAACCCCACAUAAAUUUCAAAAGAAAACCCAACCAAAUUUUUUUUUCUCCUUCCACCUCCUCACGCCCGUAGGGGCAUUAUGGCUGUCUCUGUAACGACCGAAAAAUUCCGCCGUUACGUAUGAGAUUCGGUAGUCGUUUCGGCUGCCGAACGGUCGCGCGACCGCGGUUUCCUUCUUCAUGCUCGGCUACAGAUUUGGCCGGCUUAAUGUAGCGGCUGUCGGCCACUACUUUCCCUUUUUCUCUAUUGCAUAUAUAUACAUAUAUAUAUAUAUAUCCUAAACAUACACGCAUAUAUAUAUAUAUAUAUAUUUUCUGCUUUAUUUUUCUGAAAUUCAUAUAUACCUGAAUCUAAAAUAAGUAUAUAAUUUUUCAGAAAUUCAUAUAUAAUUUUUUUCUUUUAAAAUACAUAUAUAUAUAUAUAUAUUUUUAUGUAUAUAUAUAUUUUCUUAAAUCUUGGAUCGACAGUCUGAAAAUUACAAAAAAAAAAUGAAUUUCAAAAAUUUAAUACAAAAAAUACUUUGAUAUCACUAGUUAUAAUAAAAAUAUUUUUUAAAUUAAUAAAUUUAUAAAUUUAAAUAGGUAUAAAAUUAAUAAAAAAUAUAAACAAAAAUAUUGUUUGCACGGUAAAAUUUUUAGAAUUAAUAUGGUGCCUCAAAAAAUUAAUUUUUUUUAAUAAUAAAAUUUUUUUAAAAAUAAAAUAGUAAACUUAUAAUUCAGUAACUAUAAUUAUCUUUUAUAUCAAUAAAUUUUUGUAUUUUACUUAUUAUAAAAAAAAAUAUUACAAAAUAAUAUCUGUAUAUUAUAAAUCUAUACUUAAACUCAAUGUAUUAAGAUUCAAUCAUGUUUAAUUAUAUUUAAUUACUUUUAAAAGUUCUGAUUAAAUUAAUAGUUUGAAAUCCUUGCCGGUAUCCAUAUUAAGCCCACGUGUAGCAAAAAAGUCCAAGAGCAAAUUCAGGAGAAAAUUUGAAUAUUUAUUUCAUGUAAUUGAUUUAAGUUCAGAAUUAUGAUAAAGUAAAAUAGGUUCGUAUAAUGAUGUACAGUUCGUGAAGAGCUUGUUAAAAGGAACAUCACUCGGUUAUAUUCAUCAACAAUUUAAGCAUUCAUCCCAAGAUCACUACAAACAGUCAUGGUAUAAUUGAAGUUGAUGAACUAUCCAGUUUCAACAUUCAUAUUUCAUACAGAAAGCGAUGGUUAUAGAAUUACCUAAGAAUUCCUUCAAAUGGUGGCUACACGAUCUUCUAUCGCAUUUAAUUUCAGCAUCAAGUCUCCUCCACCGUCAGAGAAUCCCUUCUCAGUUCCCUCAUCUGCUUGGCCGUCCAUCCUUCUUUCUCUUACCUGAUCUGUUUCCCUUUUGAUUUGAAAAAGAGACAUGAACAGAUGCUAGGUUCACUUUUUCUCUGUUAGCUUUUCUCCAACCUCUCAGUCUGCCUCCAUAGCU